GGACGAACGCUGGCGGCGUGCUUAACACAUGCAAGUCGAACGGAAAGGCCCUGCCUUUGUGGGGUGCUCGAGUGGCGAACGGGUGAGUAACACGUGAGUAACCUGCCCUUGACUUUGGGAUAACUUCAGGAAACUGGGGCUAAUACCGGAUAGGAGCUCCUGCUGCAUGGUGGGGGUUGGAAAGUUUCGGCGGUUGGGGAUGGACUCGCGGCUUAUCAGCUUGUUGGUGGGGUAGUGGCUUACCAAGGCUUUGACGGGUAGCCGGCCUGAGAGGGUGACCGGCCACAUUGGGACUGAGAUACGGCCCAGACUCCUACGGGAGGCAGCAGUGGGGAAUAUUGCACAAUGGGCGGAAGCCUGAUGCAGCAACGCCGCGUGCGGGAUGACGGCCUUCGGGUUGUAAACCGCUUUCGCCUGUGACGAAGCGUGAGUGACGGUAAUGGGUAAAGAAGCACCGGCUAACUACGUG
rnacentral:rRNA from 1 species